UCCUACGGGGGGCAGCAGUGGGGGAUAUUGCACAAUGGGGGAAACCCUGAUGCAGCGACGCCGCGUGAGUGAAGAAGUAUUUCGGUAUGUAAAGCUCUAUCAGCAGGGAAGAAAAUGACAGUACCUGACCAAGAAGCCCCGGCUAACUACGUGCCAGCAGCCGCGGUAAUACGUAGGGGGCAAGCGUUAUCCGGAUUUACUGGGCGUAAAGGGAGCGUAGACGGUUAUGUAAGUCUGGAGUGAAAGCCCGGGGCCCA
rnacentral:rRNA from 1 species